UACGUAGGGUGCAAGCGUUGUCCGGAAUUAUUGGGCGUAAAGAGCUCGUAGGCGGUCUGUCGCGUCUGCUGUGAAAACUCAGGGCUUAACCCUGAGCUUGCAGUGGGUACGGGCAGACUAGAGUGCGGUAGGGGAGACUGGAAUUCCUGGUGUAGCGGUGAAAUGCGCAGAUAUCAGGAGGAACACCGGUGGCGAAGGCGGGGUCUCUGGGCCGUAACUGACGCUGGAGGAGCGGAAAGCAUGGGGAGCGAAACAGG
rnacentral:rRNA from 1 species